CGGGGUGUAGCUCAGCCUGGUAGAGCACCGUCUUCGGGAGGCGGGGGUCGCUGGUUCGAAUCCAGUCACCCCGACCA
rnacentral:tRNA from 1 species